GGUGCUGAAAAGUGUGCAGCACAUUUAUAAGGUUAUGCUGCAAAAAGAGGUAGUGUAGCAAUGUGAUCCAAGCUCUUGUAGUUUGCAUACUAGAAGCAGUGAAAGCACUGCACCAACCCACAGCUUCUUGUCAAGCUUGUAGAAUGCAUAUUUAAAGCCAUGUCAUACAUGUCUUCUGCUACUCUGACCCAAAAGCACAUGAGAUUAAACUUAAACUUGGGAAAGAGAGAUCUUGAAGGCUUCAGUUUACAUGGAAGAACUUUAACCUGCCACUAAGCAGUUACUCAGUGGCACCCCAGUGAGUGAAGUUAACAUCACAAAAACAUCCCUGCCCUUGCUACUGUCUUGCUACGUGUUCCAUCACAGUGACUGACUGACUGACUGUUCAAAGUCAUCUCAUGGUAUCAAGGAGCUUGGAGGAAAGAACAGCAGAGCUGCAUGGCCAGAGCACAGAAGCACAGGAUCAACUGUUGCAGUUGACAGACCAGCAGAAAUCAGCUGCUCCUGACAUGGUCCCUCCAGUGCUGCCUCCUGUUCCAGCCCCAUCCCUGAAUUAUACCACAAAUGCAAGGAGGACAGUUGAAGUGUCUGUUCCCGUGGCAGUGGGUGUGGACAGCUCCAAGGAUGACAGUGUUUCCCAUGCCAGUGUGAAGUUCACCCUUUACUAUUUCAUUUUUGUUGUAUCUUAAUUGCCCAUGCAGCAGAAAUUGAAAACAAUGGGAAAAUUGCCAUGUGUUUUUCUGGCUUUGUGGAUUUUCCCUGACUUUCUCACAUUCACUGUGGAAGUGGGACAAAGGUCUAACAGCUUUUUCACAACUUCCUUUGUAUUUAAAAUAUCUGCAAUCUGACAUGAGACAGAUGACAUGUUGUUGAAGACUGCUGAUGAGGUGUCCUAACUCAGGAUCAGAGAUACUAUUCUACCAUUCACUUCCAUUUUUCACUUUUCCAGUCUUAUUUUGACUAUUUCCAGGUCUGUAGGAGACUCCAGCAAGCCUUGUUCACCUUUAAGUGCCACAUCAGAAAGUGCCAAAUUGACUUCUGUCAGCCAAAGACCAAAGGUGAGAACUGAAAAAUCUUCAGCCAGAAAAUCUGAUUGUUGUCAUAAAAGGAAAAAGAUCAUCCUAAGAUGGAUGAAGGGAGGAGUGCUCUGUCCUGUUUUAAAUAUCCCAAGGCUGUUAUUAAUUGAUUCAUAGCAGUUUGGAUUAUAGACAACUGGUAGGAAGACACCUGAGAACUAGUGGCAUUCAUUAUUUUCCGCCACAGAGUUGUUGUGUACAAGUGAAUAACCCUUUUCUGCUGUGGCAUCUUUGUGUGUUAGAACUGGAAACCUUUGGAAGUCUUUCCCUGGUGGCUCCAGAGAAUCUCAAGCCAUGAUUAUGAUGUACUGGUGGAGCCACAGUCAAGAGGCAAGCAAGCUCUUACCUAGCUGUUGCACAAGUCAGUUGCUGAAGGAUGAAUAAAUCCACAUGUAAAGAAAAAUCCCCAGUCUAGAUUUCUGACUCCUGAUGUACAAGGAAAAGGAUAGCCCACAGUGAGGUGCUUUCACAUGGAACUCUGUAGUGGUACAGUCUGAUAAACCAGUCACUGAGCUGUUUAUAGGCUUGAAAGCAACCAUGAGGACAUAUUAAUAACCUAUUUCCUAGUGUCCAAAAUAAUCUAAAUUAGGAGUGAUAAAGAGAACAGAGUUAGGGUCCAGGACUCCCUAUCCUGACAGCAAACUAUACAUCUCCAGACAGGAAAUUUGGAAUUACUAAGGUAGAUGUGGCUUGAAGCAGCUGAUGUGACUCCCUCCAUGGUGCCAAUGGCAGACAACAAUCCUAACAC